rnacentral:rRNA from 1 species
GACGACGCUGGCGGCGUGGAUUAGGCAUGCAAGUCGAACGGUAUCAUCCUUUCGGGGGUGAGAGAGUGGCGAACUGGUGAGUAACACGUAGGUUAUCUACCCUCAAGACGGGGACAACCCAGGGAAACUUGGGCUAAUACCGGAUGUGAGCAACUUUUUAGUUGUUUGAAAGGUGGCGUAAGCUGUCGCUUGGGGAUGAGCCUGCGUCCUAUUAGUUAGUUGGUGAGGUAACGGCUCACCUAGGCAAUGAUAGGUAGGCGGCCUUAACGGGUGGUCGCCCACACUGGGAUUGAGAUACGGCCCAGACUCCUACGGGAGGCAGCAGUCGAGAAUAGUCUACAAUGGUCGGAAGACUGAUAGUGCGACGCCGCGUGAACGAUGAAUCCCUUCGGGGUGUAAAGUUCUUUUAUAUGUGAGCAGUGCUUCUUAUAUUAACAGUAUGGGGAGAGAGAUAUUAGCAUAUGAAUAAGCAACGGCUAACUCCGUG